UACGGGAGGCAGCAGUGGGGAAUAUUGCACAAUGGGCGCAAGCCUGAUGCAGCCAUGCCGCGUGUAUGAAGAAGGCCUUCGGGUUGUAAAGUACUUUCAGUCGUGAGGAAGGCGUUAAGGUUAAUAACCUUAGCAAUUGACGUUAGCGACAGAAGAAGCACCGGCUAACUCCGUGCCAGCAGCCGCGGUAAUACGGAGGGUGCGAGCGUUAAUCGGAAUUACUGGGCGUAAAGGGCACGCAGGCGGUUAAUUAAGUUGGAUGUGAAAUCCCCGGGCUUAACCUGGGAAUGGCAUUCAAGCUGGUUAGCUAGAGUCUUGUAGAGGGGGUAGAAUUCCAUGUGUAGCGGUGAAAUGCGUAGAGAUGUGGAGGAAUACCGGUGGCGAAGGCGGCCCCUGGACAAAGACUGACGCUCAUGUGCGAAAGCGUGGGGAGCGAAAC
rnacentral:rRNA from 1 species